rnacentral:rRNA from 1 species
GAUUAACGCUGGCGGCGUGCAUAACACAUUCGAGUCGAACGGAGUAGAUGCUUCGGUAUCUACUUAGUGGCGGACGGGUGAGUAACGCGUGAGUAAUCUACCUUCCAGUGCGGAAUAACAACCGGAAACAGUUGCUAAUACCGCAUGAAAUGGCAGCAUCGCAUGGUGCAACCAUCAAAGAUUUAUCGCUGGAAGAUGAGCUUGCGUCCGAUUAGAUAGUUGGCGGAGUAACAGCCCACCAAGUCGACGAUCGGUAGCCGGACUGAGAGGUUGAACGGCCACAUUGGAACUGAGAUACGGUCCAGACUCCUACGGGAGGCAGCAGUGGGGAAUAUUGGGCAAUGGGCGAAAGCCUGACCCAGCAACGCCGCGUGAAGGAAGAAGGUCUUCGGAUUGUAAACUUCUUUUAUAAGGGAAGAAUAAUGACUGUACCUUAUGAAUAAGCCACGGCUAACUACGUGCCAGCCGCCGCCGUAAUAC